rfam:Leptospira weilii serovar Topaz str. LT2116 ctg7180000006666, whole genome shotgun sequence.
UUACAACUGCGUGAGCGAUCGAAGUGUAAAUCCUGCAACGCAACAUGAGAUGAAUGCGAAAGCCGGAAUAUACGAAAAGUUUGAAAUGUUGCGGUGCAGAUUGGAACGAAGAGCGCGACUCUGC